GGAGCCGGCCAGACAGUCGCGUCAUCGAGCGAUCGGUGCCGAGGAAAGUCCGGGCUCCACAGGGCACGGUGCCAGGUAACGCCUGGGCGGCGCGAGCCGACGGAAAGUGCAACAGAAAGAUACCGCCUAUGUCGGAGCAAUCCGGCAGGCAAGGGUGAAAUGGUGCGGUAAGAGCGCACCGCGAGCCUGGCAACAGGCCGGCACGGCAAACCCCACCGGGAGCAAGGCCAAAUAGGGACCUCAUGACGUUGCCCGCGUCGGGUCCGGGUAGGUUGCUUGAGCGUACGGGUGACCGUGCGCCUAGAGGAAUGAUUGUCGCGGCGCGCAAGCGCCGAACAGAACCCGGCUUAUCGGCCGGCUCCGCCA
rnacentral:RNase_P_RNA from 1 species